UAUCGCAUGAAUAUGUCUAAAGAAUUUGAUUAUAACAAUUGGCGUAAAAAUCCCAUAAUCGUUUUUCUGUGUUCAGGAAAUAAAGUUCGAACGAGUUGUCAUGUGUGAUAACAUUGACGAGAAAUCCACUUUUCAAUCAAGUCAGCUUGAGGAUGGUGAUAUAAUAUGCUUUCAAAAAUUUCUAACGGCUGAAAGUCAACAACAAUUUCAUUAUCCCGAUGUUCCUUCAUUCCUGGAGUAUGUUCACGAUCGCCAGUCUUUUUUGAAACGAGAUGUUGGAGCUGCAUAUUGAUCUUUUCAGAUUCUCAGCUACUAUAUUGUUCUAAAUUAAGUUGCUGGUUAGCUAUCACAUAGAGGCAGAUCACAAGUUAAAGGUGAUUUACAAGUAUUCAAGUUCUCAUAGAGAUGUUGCACUAAAACCUUCAGUCAUUUUUCUGUUGGCUCUUCAUGAAUACAUUAGUAAUGACUUGCCUACUUUCAACUUAGAUUCAUUUUAGCCUUUACUAUAUUUUGAAAUUACCAUAUAUCUGGUACUUAAAUUUUUUGCAUUCCAUUAUACUACCAUUAUUGUAGUAUCUUUUGUGAAUAUUCAA